UCAGGCCUAACACAUGCAAGUCGAACGGUAACGCGGGGCAACCUGGCGAAGAGUGGCGAACGGGUGAGUAAUGCAUCGGAACGUGCCCAGUAGUGGGGGAUAGCCCGGCGAAAGCCGGAUUAAUACCGCAUACGACCUAUGGGUGAAAGGGGGGGAUCGCAAGACCUCUCGCUAUUGGAGCGGCCGAUGUCAGAUUAGGUAGUUGGUGGGGUAAAGGCCUACCAAGCCGACGAUCUGUAGCUGGUCUGAGAGGACGACCAGCCACACUGGGAGUGAGACACGGCCCAGACUCCUACGGGAGGCAGCAGUGGGGAAUUUUG
rnacentral:rRNA from 1 species